UAAAAGAAAAUUAUCCCCAUGCCCUAGCUCCCCACACGGCGUCAAGUUUCUUACCCCGAGCCCUAUCCCUCUGGCGACUCACCUCCUUCGCCAAGCUCUCCUUCCUUCACUCUCCCUCGCGAGUUCUCGCACCAACAGCCGGCGAGCUUCUCCUUCUCCUCACGCGAGCACCCCAGCCACCGAGCCACAGCAGACACCAACUCCUCUCUUCCUCGCACCCGAGCACCGCAGCAGCAGGUGAUCUCUCCUCCUCACGCCAGCAUCGAGACGCUGCGACGAGCCAACGGCCGACGCCGAUCCUCUUCUCUCCGAGCCGUGCCCUAAUUGAUCCAGCAAGUAUCUUCCUUAGUGGUGGCAAAUAGAGCUGUUAGGUAGCAGUAGACGAUUCAUGGAUACUUAGAGGGAUGCCAGCUGCCAGUCCUGGGUCCUGCGUUAUAUCGGUUUUAUUUUCGCUUUACUUGUGUUUUUAAUAUACAGCGAUUUUGGUAUUGUAUGAAUUGGUCUGUGUUUGGAGUUUGAUUCGUGGCGUUUUGCUUUCGUGCUCUUGUGGUUGUGUAAGCUUAAUUGACUAGUAAACUUUAGUUGUGAAUUGUGGGUUUCCUCUUUGUUUUUCCGCUA